rnacentral:rRNA from 1 species
AUUGAACGCUGGCGGGAUGCUUUACACAUGCAAGUCGAACGGCAGCACGGACUUCGGUCUGGUGGCGAGUGGCGAACGGGUGAGUAAUACAUCGGAACGUGCCCAGUCGUGGGGGAUAACGUAGCGAAAGCUACGCUAAUACCGCAUACGAUCUAAGGAUGAAAGCGGGGGAUCGCAAGACCUCGCGCGAUUGGAGCGGCCGAUGGCAGAUUAGGUAGUUGGUAGGGUAAAGGCCUACCAAGCCGACGAUCUGUAGCUGGUCUGAGAGGAUGAUCAGCCAAACUGGGACUGAGACACGGCCCAGACUCCUACGGGAGGCAGCAGUGGGGAAUUUUGGACAAUGGACGCAAGUCUGAUCCAGCCAUUCCGCGUGCAGGAUGAAGGCCCUCGGGUUGUAAACUGCUUUUGUACAGAAUGAAAAGGCUCUGGUUAAUACCUGGGGCUCAUGACGGUACUGUAAGAAUAAGCACCGGCUAACUACGUGCCAGCCGCCGCAGUAA